UGGGGAAUGAGAUGUCCAGAAAAACUGACGUAUUUCUGGGAAUCUAAAAGGUGUUCAUGCAUAGAACUGUGCAUAUUCAGGGACUGUGUACAUGUUUAGGAAAGACAAGAGAAUAUCCUAAGGUCUUAUUUCUGACUGAUACUGAGGCUCUGUACAAGUAGGAAAUAAAGGCUAAGGUACAGCAGUACCAAUAUGAGCCCCAAUAUGUGAGCCCCAAUAUGAACACAGAGCCAUGUAGCAAAGAAUAGGACAAUUAUUGAUUCUGCACUUUUAAGGAAAUAUGUACACAACCAUUAGCUCACCACUAAACUAAGCAGAGACUUCAGUGGCCAUACCUAACAAAGAAUACAAACUUUACAGAAUUAGUUCAGUAAAGUCAGUAAAAAAAAAACAAAAAAAACAGUAAUAAUAACAAACCCUGAGGGAGAGAGAAUUUGAAAUCAAGGGUUGUCAUGUAGUAUCUUAAAUGUUCAGUUUUCAACCAAAAAAUUAUGAGACAUGCAAAGAAUAUAUGGCCCACACACAGGGGAGGGGGCAGCAGAUAAAAGAAACUGUCACUGAGAAAAUCCAGACAUUGGACUUAGAAGACAAAGAAUUUAAGCUAUCUUAAAUAUGUUCAAAGAACUAAAGGAAACCAUAUGUAAAGAACUAGAAGAAUGAGAUUAAGUCUUAAUAAAGAGAAAUUAUUUUUCGGAGUAUAGUUGACACACAACAUUACAUUAGUUUCAGGUGCACAAUACUGAUUCAACAUCUCUAUUCCUUAUGCUAUGCUCACCACAAAUGUUAGCUACAUUUGUCCCCACACAACACUGUUACAAUAUCAUUGACUGUAUUCCCUAUGCUGUGCAUUUCUGUGACUUAUUCAUUCCAUAAUUGGAAGCCUGUAGCUCCCACUUGCCUUUAUCCAUUUUGCUUCCUCCACCCCCCAAGAAAUAGAAAUUAUUUUUAAAAUGAUGAAAGUGCAAUAACAGGGACACCUGGGUGGCUCAGUCAGUUAAAUGUCCGACUUCAGCUCAGGUCAUGAUCUUGCAGUUCAUGGGUUCAAGCCCCACGUCAAGCUCUGUGCUGACAGCUCAGAGCCUGCAGCCUGCUUUGGAUUCUAUGUUUCCCUUCCCUCUCUCUCUGCCCCUUUCCUGGUCAUGCUCUGUCUCUCAAAAAUAAAUAAAAGUUGAAAGAAAGAACAAAAGGAAGGAAGGAAGGAAGGAAGGAAGGAAGGAAGGAAGGAAGGAAGGAAGGAAGGGCAAUAACAAUGAAAAAGUCACUGGAGAGACUUAAUAACAGAUUUGAGCAGGCGGAAGAAUCAGUGAACAUGAAGAUAGGUCCUUUAAGCUGAUCUACUCUGAGGAACAUUUAAAAAAAAAACAAAAACAAAGAAAAUGAGCAAAAUCUCAAGAGAUCCUGAUAAGGGUGUAACCAUCAAGAUUACCAAUACACAUACACAUAAUAUGAGUACUAGAAGGAGAGAGAAGGGGCACCUGGGUGGCUCAGCUGUUUCAGUGUCCAACUCCUGAUUUCGCCUCAGGUCACAAUCUUGGAGUUUGUGAGAUCAAGCCUCAUGUGGGGCUCUGCACUGACAGCAUGGAGCCUGCUUGGGAUUCUCUCUCUGCCACUCUCUUGUGCUCGCACACUAUCUCUCUCUCUCUCUCAAAUAAACAUUAAAACAAAGAAGAGGAAGAAGAACUAGAGAGAAAAAGGUACAACGAGUAUUGGAAAAAUAAUGG